rnacentral:rRNA from 1 species
GAUGAACGCUAGCGACAGGCCUAACACAUGCAAGUCGAGGGGCAGCAUGAAAUUAGCCUGCUAAUUUUGAUGGCGACCGGCGCACGGGUGAGUAACACGUAUGCAACCUGCCUGUAAGCGGGGGAUAACCCGGAGAAAUUCGGACUAAUACCGCAUAAUAUCACUGAUUCGCAUGUUUCAAUGAUUAAAAAUUUAUUGCUUACAGAUGGGCAUGCGUAUGAUUAGCUAGUUGGCGGGGUAACGGCCCACCAAGGCGACGAUCAUUAGGGGUUCUGAGAGGAAGGUCCCCCACAUUGGAACUGAGACACGGUCCAAACUCCUACGGGAGGCAGCAGUGAGGAAUAUUGGUCAAUGGACGAGAGUCUGAACCAGCCAUGUCGCGUGAAGGAUGACUGUCCUAUGGAUUGUAAACUUCUUUUAUAUGGGGAUAAAGUGUGAGACUUGUCUCAUUUUGCAUGUACCAUAUGAAUAAGCAUCGGCUAACUCCGUGCCAGCAGCCGCGGUAAAAC